rnacentral:lncRNA from 1 species
CUUGCACAGAGGGUAGAGGGAUCUUUCGUACAAGCUCUCUGAGCAGUGGUUGAACAUUAACUAUGAAAGAGUUUAUCAUGCACCCCUGUGGCCCCACUGAGGCACCGAGGAGGAGAAGCUGCGCCCUGCGCUGCUUCCCAUUUCCCCAGGCAUACGGAUUGUACGAGGGCUCCCAGCCAAGGGGGGAGAAGUGAGGUGGUCACAGAGUUCUGCAGUUCGGAGGAGAGGAAGCACGUGGGGUACAUUCGUUUCCUUUCCAAGGAAAGUUGCUCAGAGCCUCCCCAGAGCAGUGCUGUGACAGGGAGAGGCUCAGAGCGAUGGCUUCAGGCAGCAUUUAUCAGAAGUGCGAAGAGUCCGACCGGGUGGAGCUCAGGGAACAAGAGGGAGAAAUGGCACGUGGAAGAGCAGGGAAGACUUUGCUGCAGUUCCCUACGGGUCUGAAGAGGGCGGCAAAGUCCAUAUUAACCCUUUACGCCCUGUAUGCCGUCUCGUUCGUGAUGUGGACCAUCUUACUCGCCGUGGUGAUUGCGAAGUACUCGGAGAUUUCCAAGGAGCUGGAGCAGAUGCGGAGGGAUCAAUCGGUGCUCAGAGCCCACGGCUCCGAGAUGGCGAAGCAACUGGAGAUGCUGUAUUUCAACCAAUCCACCCUCCACAGCACCGAGGUGGAGCUGGCCACCGAGCUGAAGCGGCUGGAGUCGGAUCAGGAGACGCUGAGAGGGGAAGUGUCCAGGGAUCUGGCCAAAGCGAAGCAGGACAGGGAUGACAUCAGGGCCGAGACCUACAAGAUCCUCUC